UACGAAGGGGGCUAGCGUUGUUCGGAAUUACUGGGCGUAAAGCGCGCGUAGGCUGUGCCGCAAGUCAGGGGUGAAAUCCCAGAGCUCAACUCUGGAACUGCCUUUGAAACUGCGGUGCUGGAAUCUCAGAGGGGGUAGCGGAAUUCCAAAUGUAGGGGUGAAAUCCGUAGAUAUUUGGAGGAAUACCGAUGGCGAAGGCAGCCCCCUGGGAUAACACUGACGCUCAUGCACGAAAGCGUGGGGAGCAAACAGG
rnacentral:rRNA from 1 species